UUAAAAAACAAACAUAUCUAAUAACAUGUUCCAAUGUUAUUUUAAAGGUUUAUGAAUAUUAUUUUUCCUUCCAUAGGUCAAGGUGGAAAACUGGUUGAUAGAGGAGGUAAUAAUUAUGGAGGGAAGUGGUCAUAAAUCCUAGUGGUGGAUUGAUUUCAAAGGGGCACCCCCUUGGAGCUACAGGUCUGGCUCAGUGUGCUGAGCUCUGCGGGCGGCUGAGAGGGGAAGCCGGAAAAAGGCAAGUUCCCGGUGCAAAGGUUGCUCUGCGGCAUAAUUUAGGCCUCGGAGGAGCUGCCGUUGUCACGCUGUACAAAAUGGGCUUUCCUGAAGCUGCCAGUUCUUUUAAAACUCAUCAAAUUGAGGCUGCUCCAAACAGCUCUGCAGUUGAUUAAUUUAAGGUAGAUCUUGUCUUUAUGGAGAUUGAGAAGAAGCUUGAAGAUACAAGAGAGCAGUUUGUGAAGAAAAUUGGUGGUAUUUUUGCCUUCAAGGUGAAGGAUGGCCCUGGGGGUAAAGAAGCCUCCUGGGUGGUGGAUGCGAAGAACGGCAAAGGAUCAGUGCUGCCUAACUCAGAUAAGAAGGCCGACUGCACAAUCACAAUGACUGACUUGGACUUACUGGCUCUGAUGACUGGUAAAAUGAAUCCUCAGAUGGCCUUCUUUCAAGGCAAAUUGAAAAUCACUGGCAGUGUGAGUCUGGCUAUGAAAUGACAAAAUCUCCAGCUUCAGCCACAGACAAAGCUAAGUUGAAAAGAACUCCCUUUGCCUACUUUUGAAAAUCAAGUUGAGAUAUAUAGAUAUACAUAUAAUUCAUUGUCAGAACUUAGAUUGAAACCACAUAUUGGGAAAUAGCAUGAAAUUUGUUUUUAAAUGGGUGUGACCAAUCUUGUUUUUCCUAAGCCCUGGGUGAAUAGAACCUGAUGGUUUACUGCUGCUUUGCUGAAUUGCAUACAACUGUGCACUGCAAAGUUAAUAUGGUAAUUAUGGUUUGAGGUAAAAUCGAAUUUUAGAAUAAAAUUAGGAAUAGCAAAAUCCAAAAACUAUGUAAACAAAAGCUCUCAUUUUGGUUAUAAGUACAUUUGAGGAUUAUUCUGCUGAAGAUUCGAUUUAAGUUUUCUCUGGGAGAACUCGGGAAGAAACAGAACACCAGUAGCUGGCCAGUAUUUAGUGUCAUGCACUUAAUGACCUCAACCUAUUUCCCUGUGACAAUUUUUUAAAUUCUGUAUUGGGAGUUAAAAACAAAACAAAACAAAACUUUAAAAUUUUGCAUUUCAUGCAAUCAAGGCAGUAUUUUCUUCCCACAUUAAAGAAAGAUGAUCAAAGUUUGGGAGUAAAUAUCUACUUUUAAAUGAGUUUCUUUCUUGAAAAAAUUCAGUGUAUUAGAAUCAUAAAAUGCUGUUGUGACAAAUAAUUGAACAAAUAAAGUUUGCUUUGAGAUGCACAAUUUUCAAAUUA